AUGGAAAAGAAAGCUUCUCAACCUACAGAAGAUGGCCAACAAUCCAACUCUGCAACCAAGGCUGUGGCUGAAGUUCUUACUAAGCACACUAAGAAGCCAAUGUUUCUUAAGCAUGUGGGGGUCCAGCACGUGCAUGUGAGAUCUAGUCGUAGCGAUCGUGAGGCGGAACAGGAAGGGCAGAAGAGGGGAAAUGCUAAGCUUCGGGUCCUUGUUCAAACCCCAAACAAUAAGUUACAUGAAUUAGAAGAAGCAAGGAUCAGGCAAGAAGAAGAAAGGACCAAGCAAGAAGAGGAGAACGGGAAAAAGCAAGCUGAGCUGGAAGCUAAAUUAGACUUUUUACUAAAUCAGAUUCAUGCAAGAUAA
rnacentral:rRNA from 1 species